rnacentral:misc_RNA from 1 species
AGAUGAUGAUCCCAAGCCUUCUGGCGAUCUAGACGAUGGCUGUACGCCGUGUGGUGAUAUAGACAAAAUAAGUCCACCGUGGGCUGCGAAAAACGCUUUCCUUGAUAAAAUGUAAGUCGUUGUAUAUGAGGAUGCCGGGGAAGGUUAUCCGGUUUGUGCCGGAGGGCUAGUAGCUCAGUGUGUUAGAGCGCGCUCUUGAUAGGCGCGACGUGCGGAGGUCCAAGUCCUCCCAGGCCCACCAGUUUAUACAUUACUUUCAUAAGAGCUUUUAAAAAAUAAGUACUUCUAAAAAGAUUGCUUCUAAAAAGCUUAUCAAAAUUGGCAGGCUUAUUGCUUUUGUGUGAGUAAUCCAAAGUUAAAGCAAAUUAAUGGCAAAAAAACAGUUCAAAUGCUAAAUACUAAGGAGUCAAAAUUCCUUGCAAAGUGAUUUUUACAGCGUCCAUUUGGUUGAUAUAAAUUCCAAAUGCUCAUAGACGUCAAUGCCUAUAUGAAACUAUCGGUUCAAUCAUAUCGCUUUGAGUUAUAUAGAUUUUGUAAUCCCUCUUUUGAUCGUUUUAAACGCUUUAUUCUGAUUUAGGGGCCGUAGCUCAGCUGGGAGAGCACCUGCUUUGCAAGCAGGGGGUCGUCGUCGAUGCGUCAG